UCUGGUGUCUAUGAUUAUUAGGGCUACACCCGUUCCCAUACCGAACACGUAGGUUAAGCCUAGUAGUGCCAAUGAUACUUCAGGAGAGAUUCUGUGGGAAAGUAGGUUGAUGCCAGUU
rnacentral:rRNA from 1 species